rnacentral:rRNA from 1 species
UACGUAGGGGGCAAGCGUUGUCCGGAAUCAUUGGGCGUAAAGAGCGUGUAGGCGGCUCGGUAAGUCCGCUGUAAAAGUCCAGGGCUCAACCCUGGAAAGCCGGUGGAAACUGUCGAGCUAGAGUCCGGAAGAGGCGAGUGGAAUUCCUGGUGUAGCGGUGAAAUGCGCAGAUAUCUGGAGGAACACCAGUGGCGAAGGCGGCUUCCUGGCCUGUAACUGACGCUGAGACGCGAAAGCGUGGGGAGCGAACCGG